rnacentral:rRNA from 1 species
GCCUAGCCCUAAACCUUGGUAAUAUAUCACAUACACUACCCGCCUGGGAACUACGAGCACCAGCUUAAAACCCAAAGGACUUGGCGGUGCUUUAGACCCCCCUAGAGGAGCCUGUUCUAGAACCGAUAACCCCCGUUCAACCUCACCCUUCCUUGUUUAUUCCGCCUAUAUACCGCCGUCGUCAGCUUACCCUGUGAAGGCCUAAAAGUAAGCACAACUGGUACAACCCAAAACGUCAGGUCGAGGUGUAGCGCAUGGAGGGGGAAGAAAUGGGCUACAUUCCCUAUAUUAGGGAACACGAACGGCGCACUGAAACACGCGCCUGAAGGAGGAUUUAGUAGUAAGCGGAAAAUAGCGUGUUCCGCUGAAAUCGGCCCUGAAGCGCGC